AGAGUUUGAUCCUGGCUCAGAUUGAACGCUGGCGGCAGGCCUAACACAUGCAAGUCGAGCGGUAACAGGGGUAGCUUGCUACCCGCUGACGAGCGGCGGACGGGUGAGUAAUGCAUGGGUAUCUGCCCGGUAGUGGGGGAUAACUCGGGGAAACCCGAGCUAAUACCGCAUACGUCCUACGGGAGAAAGCAGGGGAUCUUCGGACCUUGCGCUAUCGGAUGAGCCCAUGUCGGAUUAGCUUGUUGGUGAGGUAACGGCUCACCAAGGCCGCGAUCCGUAGCUGGUCUGAGAGGAUGAUCAGCCACACCGGGACUGAGACACGGCCCGGACUCCUACGGGAGGCAGCAGUGGGGAAUAUUGGACAAUGGGGGAAACCCUGAUCCAGCCAUGCCGCGUGUGUGAAGAAGGCCUUCGGGUUGUAAAGCACUUUCAGUGGGGAAGAAGGCAUGAUGGUUAAUAACCAUCAUGAAGGACAUCACCCACAGAAGAAGCACCGGCUAACUCCGUGCCAGCAGCCGCGGUAAUACGGAGGGUGCAAGGGUUAAUCGGAAUUACUGGGCGUAAAGGGCGCGUAGGCGGCUUGCCAAGCCGGAUGUGAAAGCCCCGGGCUCAACCCGGGAACGGCAUUCGGAACUGGCAGGCUAGAGUGCAGGAGAGGAAGGUGGAAUUCCCGGUGUAGCGGUGAAAUGCGUAGAGAUCGGGAGGAAUACCAGUGGCGAAGGCGGCCUUCUGGACUGACACUGACGCUGAGGCGCGAAAGCGUGGGUAGCAAACAGGAUUAGAUACCCUGGUAGUCCACGCCGUAAACGAUGUCGACCAGCCGUUGGACCCCUUGAGGGUUUGGUGGCGCAGUUAACGCAAUAAGUCGACCGCCUGGGGAGUACGGCCGCAAGGCUAAAACUCAAAUGAAUUGACGGGGGCCCGCACAAGCGGUGGAGGAUGUGGUUUAAUUCGAUGCAACGCGAAGAACCUUACCUGCUCUUGACAUCCUGCGAAUCUCCCAGAGAUGGGAGAGUGCCUUCGGGARCGGAGAGACAGGUGCUGCAUGGCUGUCGUCAGCUCGUGUUGUGAAAUGUUGGGUUAAGUCCCGUAACGAGCGCAACCCCUAUCCCUUUUUGCCAGCGGUCCGGCCGGGAACUUCAGGGAGACUGCCGGUGAGAAACCGGAGGAAGGUGGGGACGACGUCAAGUCAUCAUGGCCCUUACGAGCAGGGCUACACACGUGCUAGAAUGGCCGGUACAAAGGGUUGCGAAGCGGCGACGUGAAGCCAAUCCCAUAAAGCCGGCCUCAGUCCGGAUCGGAGUCUGCAACUCGACUCCGUGAAGUCGGAAUCGCUAGUAAUCGUGGAUCAGAAUGCCACGGUGAAUACGUUCCCGGGCCUUGUACACACCGCCCGUCACACCAUGGGAGUGGACUGCACCAGAAGUGGUUAGCUUAACCUUCGGGAGAGCGAUCACCACGGUGUGGUUCAUGACUGGGGUGAAGUCGUAACAAGGUAGCCGUAGGGGAACCUGCGGCUGGAUCACCUCCUU
rnacentral:rRNA from 2 species